GACGAACGCUGGCGGCGUGCUUAACACAUGCAAGUCGAACGACGAAACCUAGCUUGCUAGGUCGAUUAGUGGCGAACGGGUGAGUAACACGUGACUAACCUGCCCCUUUCUCUGGGAUAACGCUCCGAAAGGAGUGCUAAUACCGGAUACUCACAUCGAGGCACAUGCCUUGAUGUGGAAAGGUUUUCGGAAAGGGAUGGAGUCGCGGCCUAUCAGCUUGUUGGUGAGGUAACGGCUCACCAAGGCGACGACGGGUAGCCGGCCUGAGAGGGCGACCGGCCACACUGGGACUGAGACACGGCCCAGACUCCUACGGGAGGCAGCAGUGGGGAAUAUUGCACAAUGGGCGCAAGCCUGAUGCAGCGACGCCGCGUGAGGGAUGAAGGUCUUCGGAUUGUAAACCUCUUUCAGUAGGGACGAAGCGAAAGUGACGGUACCUAAAGAAGAAGCACCGGCUAACUACGUGCCAGCAGCCGCAGUAA
rnacentral:rRNA from 1 species